rnacentral:rRNA from 1 species
GAUGAACGCUGGCGGCGUGCCUAACACAUGCAAGUCGAGCGAAGCACUUUGCUUAGAUUCUUCGGAUGAAGAGGAUUGUGACUGAGCGGCGGACGGGUGAGUAACGCGUGGGUAACCUGCCUCGUACAGGGGGAUAACAGUUAGAAAUGACUGCUAAUACCGCAUAAGACCACAGCACCGCAUGGUGCAGGGGGUAAAAACUCCGGUGGUAUGAGAUGGACCCGCGUCUGAUUAGCUAGUUGGUAAGGUAACGGCUUACCAAGGCGACGAUCAGUAGCCGACCUGAGAGGGUGACCGGCCACAUUGGGACUGAGACACGGCCCAAAACUCCUACGGGAGGCAGCAGUGGGGAAUAUUGGCACAAUGGGGGAAACCCUGAUGC